rnacentral:rRNA from 1 species
ACGCAAGUCAUUGGGUGAUAUAAAACCCAAAGGCGUAAUGAAAGUAAAGAGUAGAAGGAUAGAAGAAGAAAAUUAAUUUUCAUCUUUGAUUCUUUCUCUCAAGGGAAGAUGGAUAUAUCUUAUUUUAAAUAAUAUUUAGUAUUUAUAUUAAGUAUAUUUAAAAUUUAGAUUCCCGCAUUCCCAGGGCGCUUUUAUCUCGCUCUGCGAGAUUAUGCGCACCUAGAGCGUACACGAUGAUACCCGAAAGAUGGUGAACUAUGCCUGGCCAGGACGAAGCCAGGGGAAACCCUGGUGGAGGUCCGCAGCGAUUCUGACGUGCAAAUCGAUCGUCAGAGCUGGGUAUAGGGGCGAAAGACCAAUCGAACCAUCUAGUAGCUGGUUCCCUCUGAAGUUUCCCUCAGGAUAGCUUGCGCUCGGUUGAGAAGAGUCUCAUCCGGUAGAGCGAAUGAUUAGAGGCAUUGGGGUCGAAACGACCUCAACCUAUUCUCAAACUCCAAAUAGAUGAGACCCCCGGCUUUCUUAAAAUUGAAGCCGUGGGAUUAGGAUCAGAGUGCCAA